rnacentral:rRNA from 1 species
AUUGAACGCUGGCGGCAGGCCUAACACAUGCAAGUCGAGCGGAUGAAGGGAGCUUGCUCCUGGAUUUAGCGGCGGACGGGUGAGUAAUGCCUAGGAAUCUGCCUGGUAGUGGGGGAUAACGUCCGGAAACGGGCGCUAAUACCGCAUACGUCCUGAGGGAGAAAGUGGGGGAUCUUCGGACCUCACGCUAUCAGAUGAGCCUAGGUCGGAUUAGCUAGUUGGUGGGGUAAAGGCCUACCAAGGCGACGAUCCGUAACUGGUCUGAGAGGAUGAUCAGUCACACUGGAACUGAGACACGGUCCAGACUCCUACGGGAGGCAGCAGUGGCGAAUAUUGGACAAUGGGCGAAAACCUGAUCCAGCCAUGCCGCGUGUGUGAAGAAGGUCUUCAGAUUGUAAAGCACUUUAAGUUGGGAGGAAGGGCAGUAAGUUAAUACCUUGCUGUUUUGACGUUACCAUCUGAAUAAGCACCGGCUAACUACGUG